AUAUUGGUGCGAGACCGAUAGCAUACAAGUACCGUGAGGGAAAGAUGAAAAGAACUUUGAAAAUAGAGUUAAAGAGUACCUGAAACUGCUGAAAGGUAACCAAAUCGUUUCCAGUGUCUAUAAUCCGUAGUAUAUUUCAUUGACGAGCGUGUGCGUGCGUGUGCUGUUGCAGUGGCCUUUUGGCUGCGCUCGGCGUGUGUGCUGUGUGUGCUUGCUGGUGCCCUGUGCUACGGUGGGACGUCAAGGUCAGUUCGUAUGCUGCGGGAAAUGGCCACUGAGGAGGUAGGGCUUACGCUUGCGUUUGUCUGUUAUAUCUUGGUGGACGAGUAGUCGCGGUUGGGACUGAGGUGCCUACAACGUGCUUUUGAGUGGACUUGGGUCUCCGUGUGCGCCGUGUGCGGAUAGCUUGCUAUGCGUGUGUGAUUGUGUAUGGAUUGAUGCGAGUCGUAACUUGUAGCCGUUCGGGACGUUGACGAAAUGGAGCGAUUUGACCCGUCUUGAAACACGGACCAAGGAGUCUAACAUAUGUGCAAGUGUUAGGGUGUGGAAACCCCAGCGCGUAAUGAAAGUAAAGGAUAGCGUAAGCUGUCUGAGGUAGGAAAUGCUGCGGACUUCGGUUUGCGGCGUGGCACUAUCGACCGAUCAUGAACCCUCGUGGUGAAAGAUUUGAGUUCGAGCACAUAUGUUGGUACCCGAAAGAUGGUGAACUAUGCCUGAGUAGGGUGAAGCCAGGGGAAACUCUGGUGGAAGCUCGUAGCGAUUCUGACGUGCAAAUCGAUCGUUGAACUUGGGUAUAGGGGCGAAAGACUAAUCGAACCAUCUAGUAGCUGGUUCCCUCCGAAAUUUCCCUCAGGAUAGCAGCAACUUAUUUACGAUAGUUUUAUGAGGUAAAGCGAAUGAUUAGAGGUUUCGGGGAAGAAACUUCCUCGACCUAUUCUC
rnacentral:rRNA from 1 species